UACGGGGGGGGCAAGCGUUGUUCGGAAUUACUGGGCGUAAAGGGCUCGUAGGCGGCCCACUAAGUCAGACGUGAAAUCCCUCGGCUUAACCGGGGAACUGCGUCUGAUACUGGAUGGCUUGAGUUUGGGAGAGGGAUGCGGAAUUCCAGGUGUAGCGGUGAAAUGCGUAGAUAUCUGGAGGAACACCGGUGGCGAAGGCGGCGUCCUGGACCAACACUGACACUGAUGAGCGAAAGCCAGGGGAGCAAACGGG
rnacentral:rRNA from 1 species